rnacentral:rRNA from 1 species
UACGUAGGGGGCAAGCGUUAUCCGGAUUUAUUGGGCGUAAAGCGCACGCAGGCGGCUGAUUAAGUCUGACGUGAAAUCUCCCGGCUUAACCGGGAGCGGUCGUUGGAAACUAAUCGGCUCGAGGCGAUGAGAGGGGUGUGGAAUUCCCGGUGUAGUGGUGGAAUGCGUAGAUAUCGGGAGGAACACCUGUGGCGAAAGCGGCGCACUGGACCAUAACUGACGCUGAUGCGCGAAAGCUAGGGGAGCAAACAGG